UACGAAGGGAGCUAGCGUUGUUCGGAAUUACUGGGCGUAAAGGGCGCGUAGGCGGUUUAGUAAGUCAGAUGUGAAAGCCCCGGGCUUAACCUGGGAACAGCAUUUGAUACUGCUAGACUAGAGAUCGAAAGAGGAGAGUGGAAUUGCGAGUGUAGAGGUGAAAUUCGUAGAUAUUCGCAGGAAAACCGGGGGCGAAGGCGACUCUCUGGUUCGAUACUGACUCUAAGUCGCGAAAGCGGGGGGAGCACACAGG
rnacentral:rRNA from 1 species